GGAUCAAUAUGCUGGUCGUGCCUUUGGUACGUACUGGUAUUAUUGGUUUCUCCUUUCUGAUGAAUCACGAUGUCAUUAAUUUGGUGCGCCGGGGAAGCAGGACUGUUACCUUGAAAAAAUUAGAGUGCUUAAAGCAGGCUAUCGCCUGAAUACAUUAGCAUGGAAUAAUGAAACAGGACGGCAUGGUUCUAUUUUGUUGGUUUCUAGGAUCACCGUA
rnacentral:rRNA from 1 species